AAAGGUCUCCACACGUCCCUCAGUCCGCAGUCAACAUAUCCCUCCAAAGGGUAGAUGGAAAAAAUAAACCACGGCUGGCUAAGGUUCCUGGGACCCAAUCCUGCAGGAUAUAGUGCAAAUCAAACAACAGCAAUCCAACAGGGAGGGAUGAUGAUCUUGUUUUACAUUUCUUUAUUGCUGUCACCAAACUACAGAUGCAAAGAGAGACACAUCUAUGUGGCAUUGUUCUUCAAAGUAGAAUCAUUUUCUUGGUUUUGGUUUUACCUUGAUAAUGUUGUUCAUGUCCUGUUUAAGAUGGAUAAUGCUCCUUUCACUGCCAAUAACCGCUUGUAAGUUAAGGCCAUUCGGCUUCCCACGCACAGCUGCUGAUAAGGAAAGUCGCAGGAGACGCUGGAAAGAUUAGGCCUUUCAAAGCUUUUAAGAUUCACAAGUGUCAGCUCCUUGGAUGGACUUGCUUGAAAGAGUUUCCUAUCUGAAAGAUGUCACAUGUUGCAUUGAUAGGCAGCUAUUCAGUGGAUGGCAGACAGCCAAUAUAUCACUCAGCAGAGAUUUCCUUAUCCUCUCAGGCAUGUCUUACAAAAUCUACAGUUUCUAUCUUCAAAUGGCAUGAUUCAAUGUCAAGCAGUUUAUGUUCUGUUUAAACUUAUGUACUUACUUUGGAUCAGCACUGGCGUCCUUCCCCCCUUCUACAACCACAAAAACUCUUCCUUCUAUAUUCAUGUUCAGAUACUGGUCAACUCCCCUCUCUUAAAUAAACCAAGCAUGCAUUUAUAAGAGAUACAA